rnacentral:rRNA from 1 species
AAUCGAAGCAGUGAACUUAAGCCCCAGUAAACGGCGGCCGUAACUAUAACGGUCCUAAGGUAGCGAAAUUCCUUGUCGGGUAAGUUCCGACCCGCACGAAAGGCGUAACGAUUUGGGCACUGUCUCAACAACAGACUCGGUGAAAUUGUAAUUCCGGUGAAGAUGCCGGAUACCUGCGACAGGACGGAAAGACCCCAUGGAGCUUUACUGUAGCUUGACAUUGGGUCUUGGUACUACAUGUACAGGAUAGGUGGGAGGCUUUGAAACCAGGACGCCAGUUUUGGCGGAGCCAUCCUUGGGAUACCACCCUUGUAGUACUGGGACUCUAACCAUAGGCCAUGAAUCUGGUCUUGGGACACUGUCAGGUGGGCAGUUUGACUGGGGCGGUCGCCUCCCAAAAGGUAACGGAGGCGCUCAAAGGUUCUCUCAGUACGGUCGGAAAUCGUACGUAGAGUGUAAAGGCAAAAGAGAGCUUGAUUGCAAGACAUACAGGUCGAGCAAGGAUGAAAAUCGGACUUAGUGAUCCGGUGGUUCUGCGUGGAAGGGCCAUCGCUCAACGGAUAAAAGCUACCCUGGGGAUAACAGGCUUAUCUCCCCCAAGAGUCCACAUCGACGGGGAGGUUUGGCACCUCGAUGUCGGCUCAUCACAUCCUGGGGCUGUAGUAGGUCCCAAGGGUUGGGCUGUUCGCCCAUUAAAGUGGUACGCGAGCUGGGUUCAGAACGUCGUGAGACAGUUCGGUCCCUAUCCGUCGCAGGCGUAGGAAAUUUGAGAAGACCUGUCCUUAGUACGAGAGGACCGGGAUGGACGUACCUCUGGUGUACCAGUUGUCCUGCCAAGGGCAUGGCUGGGUAGCUAUGUACGGAAUGGAUAAGCGCUGAAAGCAUCUAAGCGCGAAGCCAACUUCAAGAUAAGAUUUCCCACCGCAAGGGUAAGACCCCAGAAAGACUAUCUGGUUGAUAGGUCGAAGGUGUAAGUGCAGCAAUGUAUUUAGCUUAUCGAUACUAAUAGGUCGAGGACUUGACCAA